UUCAUCACCCCUGGAUCGGUGAGGCUGGGGUCGUCGGCUGAUCGCGAUAGGUUGGUUGAACACCUAGCAUUUAAGCUCCCGGAUGGAAACAUGGCACUUGUCGUCUUGAACAGGAAGGAGUUCACAUUUCCUCUUCAUAUCUAUGAUCCGGAAGUGGGCUAUCUCAACGCUGAGAUUCCAUCUCGUUCAAUUCAAACGUAUAUAUGGAAAUAAUAAUCUAAUAAUUGAAGAAGCCCCCC